GCAACCUGCCCCGAAGAUUGGGACAACACCGGGAAACCGGUGCUAAUACCGGAUAUCCCUAUCGGACCGCAUGAUCUGAUAAGGAAAGUUUUUCGCUUCGGGAGGGGCUCGUGGCCUAUCAGCUAGUUGGUGAGGUAACGGCCCACCAAGGCAUCGACGGGUAGCUGGUCUGAGAGGACGAUCAGCCACACUGGGACUGAGACACGGCCCAGACUCCUACGGGAGGCAGCAGUGGGGAAUCUUGCGCAAUGGGCGAAAGCCUGACGCAGCAACGCCGCGUGGAGGACGAAGGCUUUCUGAGUUGUAAACUCCUUUCAGCAGGGACGAGCAG
rnacentral:rRNA from 1 species